CGCAGUUAGCGGGGCGGGAGCGCGGCGCGGGGCGCGGAGAGCCGGGGCCGAAAAGUAGUCCCGGAGGGGCUGCGGCGCGGCUACCGCUCCUGGGACGGGGUGGGGGAGAGGCUCAUCCCCGCGGCGGCGCGUCCGGGCGGGGCGCAGAGGCGGCGGAGAUGGCAGCGGACAAGGCUGCGGAUCAAGGUACUGAGAAACAUGAAGGAGCAGGUACUUCUUCUGGGAUUACUGAUCAGGAAAAGGAAUUGUCAAGCAGUGCAUUACAAGCCUUUCUGGCUGGAAAUUACGAUGCUUGUUUACAACACCUGAAUACCCUUCAAGACAUAAACAAAGAUGACUACAAAAUAACUUUGAAUACUGCUGUUGCAGAGUUCUGUAAAAGUAACCAGACUACAACAGACAGCUUGAGACAGACUCUUAACCAGCUGAAAAAUCAGGUUCACUCUGCUGUUGAAGAAAUGGAUGGUUUAGAUGAUGUUGAAAAUAGUAUGCUUUACUACAAUCAGGCUGUUAUUUUGUAUCAUCUGCGUCAGUAUACUGAAGCUAUAUCAGUUGGAGAGAAGCUCUAUCAAUUUAUAGAACCUUUCGAAGAGAAGUUUGCCCAGGCUGUGUGCUUCUUGCUUGUAGACUUAUACCUGCUAACUUACCAAGCUGAGAAAGCCUUACAUCUACUUGCUGUUUUAGAGAAAAUGAUUUCACAAGGCAACAAUAGCAGCAAGAAUGGAAAAAAUGAGUCAGGUAAUAAUACAAAUAAAGAUUCCUCUAACCAGAAAGCAGAGAGUGGAGCUUUAAUAGAAGUUGCCAAAUCCAAGAUACAUCAGUAUAAGGUGAGAGCCUAUAUCCAGAUGAAGUCACUAAAAGCAUGCAAAAGGGAGAUCAAGUCUGUUAUGAAUACGGCUGGGAAUUCAGCUCCUUCUCUUUUUCUAAAGAGCAAUUUUGAGUAUUUGAGAGGCAAUUAUCGGAAAGCGGUCAAACUUCUGAACAGUGCAAAUAUUGCUGAACAUCCAGGCUUCAUGAAAACAGGUGAAUGCUUAAGAUGCAUGUUCUGGAAUAAUCUUGGCUGCAUCCACUUUGCAAUGGGAAAGCACAAUUUAGGAAUUUUUUACUUUAAAAAAGCCUUGCAAGAGAAUGAUAAUGCGUGUGCGCAGCUAGGAACAGGUAGUUCAGAUCCAGGUAAAAAGUUUUCAGGAAGGCCUAUGUGUACAUUACUGACUAAUAAACGGUAUGAGUUGCUCUACAAUUGUGGAAUACAGCUUUUACAUAUUGGGAGGCCCUUAGCUGCCUUUGAAUGCUUGAUAGAGGCAGUCCAGGUUUAUCAUUCAAAUCCUCGUCUUUGGCUGAGAAUAGCAGAGUGCUGCAUUGCUGCCAAUAAAGGGACGUCAGAACAAGAAACUAAAGGUCUUCCCAGCAAAAAGGGAAUUGUGCAAUCUAUAGUUGGUCAAGGCUACCACCGUAAGAUAGUCCUAGCAUCCCAGUCAAUACAGAAUGUUGUUUAUAAUGAUGGGCAGUCCUCAGCAAUUCCUGUUGCCAGUAUGGAAUUUGCAGCAAUCUGUUUAAGAAAUGCCUUGCUGUUACUGCCAGAAGAUCAACAGGAGCCAAAGCAAGAAAAUGGGUCUAAAACUAGUAACCAGCUGGGGGGAAAUGCAGAAAACAGUGAAAGCAGUGAAGCCUGCAGCAAUAAAAGUCAUGAAGGGGACAAAUUCAUUGCAGCUCCACCUUCUUCACCUUUGAAGAAACAGGAAUUAGAAAACUUAAGGUGCUCAAUACUUGCCUGUAGUGCUUACGUUGCUCUGGCUUUGGGUGAUAACCUUAUGGCAUUGAAUCAUGCAGAUAAGCUGCUUCAGCAGCCAAAGUUGUCAGGGUCUCUAAAGUUUCUUGGGCAUUUGUAUGCAGCAGAAGCUCUCAUCUCUCUAGACAGAAUAUCUGAUGCCAUCACUCACUUGAACCCUGAGAACGUCACUGAUGUUUCCCUGGGGAUCUCUUCAAAUGAGCAAGAUCAAGGGUCUGACAAAGGAGAAAAUGAGGCAAUGGAAUCUUCUGGCAAGCAGACCCCCCAGUGUUAUCCCAGCUCAGUCACAUCUGCACGAACAAUGAUGUUGUUUAACCUUGGAAGCGCUUACUGCUUGAGGAGCGAAUAUGACAAAGCUCGGAAGUGUCUCCAUCAGGCUGCUUCGCUGAUCCAUCCCAAAGAGAUCCCUCCAGAGGCUAUUCUGCUGGCUGUGUAUCUUGAAUUACAGAAUGGGUCAUUGGAAGAGCGUUUGCGAAUGUUUGAUUUCUUACGGCUUCCUAACAGCAUUUUGGUACAAGACAGUUGGCCUCAAAUACUGACUGACCGUUCCUACUGCUAAGCCUGAAAAACUGUUUAUUGCAAUCCUUAUACAAUCCUGACUUUCUAAACUUUUAUCUGCGGGGUCAAGAUCUUCCAUGCUUUGUCCAGAAAUCAGUGGCAUUGGAAAGGCUCAGUAAAACCCCAUCAAAACUGAAGAUUGAGUAGUGGGGGGUUGUGUGUCCUUGACGAGGUUUGUACUGUAAAAAGAGGGCUUGAAAGAAGUCUCAUAAAAGGCAGUGACUGAAAUACAAGCUUUACAAAGAAGCCAUGUCAAGGGCUAUGGAGCAAGUGCAGUAACAAAGCCUGUAACAUUGGUAACUGCCUGUUCUAAAACCCUUUUUGAAGGGUCACUCUGUUUUCGUGAAAAACCUACAUGAGGAGGAGCUGGAAACCUUGUACCUGAGCUGUGCAGUGUGAGGAGACAGAACAGUUGAAACUUGCAGUAGUGCCAGUAUUGUUGAGCUGUGAGGAACUGGUGAUCCAGAGUCUCACUGUGCGCAUGGGAGUGAGGUGCCUGUCAGGAGUGCAGAAAGUGCUGUGGUGUCUUCUAGCUCUGAGGUUAAAUCUUGGUUUCUCUUGUGAAGUGUUGCUAAGACCAGGUAGAAUCAAUACUGCUGUUUGUUAUAAGUAAGUUUACUUCUGUUUAAUAUGUUUGUAAUGUCUCUAUCAGCAUUUCUUUGAACAGAAAGAGUGCUAGUGCAGAUGGUCCAGACCCAGCACUGGCAGGGAAUUGAAUCCACAGCUCCUCAGCAGUGAUCUGAGGACAGCAAUCAGUGAACCAGUUGCAUCAUUUAAAGGUGGUGUUUUUAACUGAAACUUGUCUUGUAGGUAACACUCAGCUGGCCUUGCAGAUCAUCAAGAGAAACCAGCUUCUCCCUUCUGUGAAAACACUCUCUGAUAUGCGGAAGAAGCCUGUUUUUCA